UUAUUGCACAUAGCGUGCAGGUGAGAAACUGCAUUCAAGUUCAAGUUCAAGUUCAAGUUCAAGUCGGAGCGCAGCAGGGCAGCGUUGCUUUUGUCACAACGACUCGCAGGGGGAGGCCAAAGGCCGAAUCAUCCUGUACGACCCACCA
rnacentral:sRNA from 1 species